rnacentral:rRNA from 1 species
UUAGCUGUGGAGAAAGGGCGAGGGUGCUAAGGUCCUCGCCCGAGAGGAGAAGAAUCCGGACCGCCGGCUAAGGCCCCGGAGUGCAUGUUAAGUUAGUCUAACGAAGUACGGCCCCCGUGACAGCUAGGAUGUUGGCUUGGAAGCAGCCAUUCAUUCAAAGAGUGCGUAACAGCUCACUAGUCGAGGGUCUGUGCGUGGAUAAUAAUCGGGUAUUAAACAUGCCGCCGAAGCCGCGGGAUUGCACUUUUUAAUGGUGUAAUCGGUAGGGGAGCAUUCCAUGUGCGUUGAAUGGAUUCCGUAAGGGGUUCUGGAGCGUAUGGAAAAGCAAAUGUAGGUAUAAGUAACGAUAAAGAGGGUGAGAUGCCCUCUCGCCGAAAGACUAAGGUUUCCUGGGCGACGUUAAUCGUCCCAGGGUCAGUCGGGUCCUAAGGAUAAGCCUAAUGGCGAGGCCGAACGGAUGAAACGGUUAAUAUUCCGUUACUAUCUGCGUCGAGCGACGCGGUGACGGGGCGGUGACACUUCCGCGCCCUUACGAAUCAGGGCGUUGAACGGCAAAGGUGUAGAUUGCGGUAGUGAAGUACGCCGCGAGAGCCGAAGCCGGAAAGUACGCGAGUCCUCCGGGAUGAGCGAUAGUGAAGGUAAUAGCCUCCGAGAAAACCCGCUAAGCAUUAUGAUGGUGCAGGUACCCGUACCGUAAACGGACACACGUAGUUGGGUAGAAAAUACUAAGGCGCUUGGGAGAUUCACGGUUAAGGAACUAGGCAAAAUAGCCCUGUAACUUCGGGAGAAAGGGUCCUGCUUUUAUAGCAGGCGCAGAGAAAAGGUCCAGGCAACUGUUUAACAAAAACACAGGGCUGUGCGAAGUGUAAUUACUCAGUAUACAGCCUGACACCUGCCCGGUGCCGGAAGGUUAAGAGGAGGGCUUAUCAGCAAUGAGAAGGUCUGAAUUGAAGCCCCGGUAAACGGCGGCCGUAACUAUAACGGUCCUAAGGUAGCGAAAUUCCUUGUCGGGUAAGUUCCGACCUGCACGAAUGGUGUAAUGAUCCGGACACUGUCUCAACCGUGAUCCCUGUGAAAUUGUAGUAUCGGUGAAGAUGCCGAUUACCCGCGAUGGGACGAAAAGACCCCGUGAACCUUUACUAUAGCUUAGCGUUGGAACUGGGCAAUUGAUGUGUAGGAUAGGCCGGAGGCAAUGAAGCGUGCGCGCCAGCGUAUGUGGAGCCGCCGUUGAAAUACGGCCCUUUGGCUGUUUGGUUCCUAACUUGCAAGAAUGCAAGGACCGCGCUUGGUGGGUAGUUUGACUGGGGUGGUCGCCUCCAAAAGCGU